GAUUUCUUUAGAACCGCUCCCCUCUUCACUUCAGAAAUCGACAACCCAGCCACCAACCAAGCUUCCAAGCUUGAUGAAAAUGGCGCCCAUCAACUUUCUCAGAGCAGCACGUCAUUUUUCAGACUGAAAAAGCUCUCUGAAAGCGCUGUUACUCCAUCAAGAUUCAAGAGGCUCUCCUCUCUCUGCGGGUUACGAUCUCUCGAGGUGUGGCACCAAUUCAUCUAAUUGUUGAGGAUAAUUUGCACCGUGCAACUCCAUGAGGUACUGGGGUGUAAAGGCUAUAGUAAACUAUGUUGCGGUUCUCAAGGCUUAAUCAGCUGCAAAAGAACAAGGGUAUUCAAAUGUUCUCUACCUUGAUUGUGUACACAAAAUAAAUCUAGAGGAGGUCUCCUCUUGCAACAUUUUCGUCGUGAAGGGUAACGUUAUCUAUACUCCAGCAAUUAAAGGGAAGAUCUUACCUGGUAUUACUCGAAAGAGUAUCAAGAUUCAAGAGGCUCUCCUCUCUCUGCGGUAGUAGGAUUGUGUUUCAUUAUGGAAGCUCUAGCUUUGAAACACAUAUUGGAAGCUUUACAGAGUAUGCAAUUGUAUUGUUCUGAGUUGAAGGAGAAUGUUUGUAAAAUACAGUCUGACAUGCGUUCUUUAGCUGAGGAGGACCAGAGAAUUUUUCGGGCCAAAAUUCUUAAAUUUUAUGUUGGGAGUUUUGAUGAGUGUAUAGAAUUUGGAUUGAAAGAAGAUUCAUGUGUAGACCCUAAUGAGAAAGGAAGAUUACACAAAGGUGAAUGUGAGAAGGGUAAAUUAGGAGACGCUGACUCAAAUUUACCGACACCUUCACCCGACAGUGGAGCUUGUAAAAGUAUAAAUGGUCAUACUUCUAUUGCUGCAGGUGGUAGUAUGUUGAAGGGCGGUUAUAUUUGUGGGAAAUGAUUGAGCUUUGAUGAUACAGUGUUCCAAAAGACCAUGCAAUUUGGUUAAACUUUUCUAGAACGUGCGAUGACAAUGGCGCAGUCGCAAGGAUGCACGAUUAAACAUUCAAUGAAAUUAGCGUGUGAAAAGAAGUCAGUUGGUGCUUCAGUCGGAGUUGGUCGUACUAAGAUUGCUGGAGGAGAUAUGGGUUACAGAAAAUUCCAAUCUAAGUACGAUUUGGGAGUAGGUGUGAAAAGGGUUGCAUGUGGGGUGCAAAAGUUAGGCCCUUUUACAAUUUCUAUCCCACUUCAAGAUUCUAGUUAUGGGCCACUACUAGAGUACAUAUUUCAUGAAGACUUGGAUGCAGAGUUAUUAAUGUCGUUUGUGAUAUGCUAACAAAGACUGAAAGAUUGGUAUCAAAAGGAGAGCGAAAGAUGUGGUAUUUAAACACAUGGAUGAGUUCUUCCAUAACCGCUGAAAAAUUAUUUCCAAGUACUGUUAGAGGAAAUCAUGAUGGAGAAAAAGAGUCUGCCAGACAAUUCUACAUUGGGGAUCUUCGUAAUUGUAAGUAGUUAGUGAAGUUGGACUCAUUAUUGGCAACUGACAUUGCAUGUUUGAAAUCCUCGCGUGAAGAGAUUACAAGAUGGAAGUGGGCUGAUUUUUCAUUUGCCAAAUUUCAUGUCAUGACACUUACCAGCGCACCUCAACAAUCUAAUUCUUAUGACUGGAAUAUUUGUUAUGAAUUGGUUGGAGGAGCACCAAAGACAGUAUUUGAAUGAUUCAGAGGUUUUUUUAAUUAUAAUUAUCGAGUUAUAAUUUGAGUCGUGUGUUUAUCUAUUAUUAGAUCAAUCCUAUGCGUUGUAUUCAUAUUAUUUCUUCAUAACCCCCCUCCCCCCAUUAUCCUAACAAGGGCAAUGACAAUUGCCUCAAACUUUUGCAGUUUCAUUCUCAAAAUGAGGGGGCAUGUAUUGCAGUUAAUAUAGUGAUGUCUAGUGUCGACAAAUUAAAAGAUAUUGUGAAGGUUGCUGCUUUAGAACACAAAAAGCCUAUUAGUCAGGCGAGUGAUUGUUGAAGAAAGGAUGUUUUCUUACAAUUUAUGGAUUUUAUAGUCUUUUGAGAUACAUGGGUUGGUAACUUAGUUUA